rnacentral:rRNA from 1 species
AUGUCUGAGAAAACACAGGCUCCGUCGCAGGAGACGGCGGCCGCCACCAGUGCCGAGGACCACCUUCCUGCACCACCGCCGCCGCCGCCGCCUCCUGAGGAGCAGAAGCAAGGCGGUACUGCCAAAGACGGGAAGGACUCUGCCACGGCAAACUCGCCCCGAGCAGAGGAGAGGAAGCCGGGCACAAGUCGCUGGACCCGCGUCCGGUCGCCGGUGCUGUUGCUUCUCUCCCUCUUCCGCCUCCGCCUCGGGAAGCCGAGCCAGGCGAUCGAGCAGCCUAAGGUGGAGGACGAGCUGGCCGCACCCGCACAGAAGGAGGAAAGUGAAGGGAGCAAGCGCCGUCGCCAUGAAGCCGAGGCCUCAUUGUCGCCGGCGGGGCGGAAGGAGGCGCCGCCCGGGGAACCGCACCAAACCAAGCGCCGCAAGAGCCUGCAGCGCACCGAGAGCGUCCGGCCUCCCGAAGGUGUCGUCGCCGCUGCUGCAGGUGAAGCUGACGCCAACCGAACUCCCAUGAAAAAGAAGCUUAAAAAUGCGUUCGUGCUCGUGAAGGACACCUUGGCGUGGUACGGCCGGCAUCGCUCCCCGAAGAAUGCGGAGAAGCCGGAGGAGGACCAGUCGGCGGCGCCGAAGGAGAAAGGCGGAGAGGCCAAGCCGUCGACGUCGUCACCGCCGGAGGAGGAGGCGGGGACGAAGUCGAAGCAGGACGACAAAACUGAAGAGACCACCAAAACCAAAGAGCCGUCGACGGCAGCGCAAGAGGAGUCUAAGGAGAAGGCGCGCCGGCGGUGGGAACGGGCGGAGGUGCGUCUGGAGAAGAUCCUGGAGGACGCGUGCUCGAGGCUGACGCUCGCCGAGUUCAGGAAGCUCCCGAACCACAAGGAGGAGCCGCACCAGCAGUGCCUCCUCACCUUCUCGGUGUUCCCGCUCGGCGAGCAGGUGAAGAAGCAGGCCGUGACGUACUGGUGGUCCACGCGGUUCAACCUUCCGUCGGAGAGGGCGGGAGGCGCGGACGGGAUCUUCUCGAAGCUCUCCGGCGGCGGCUUCCUGGAGCCGAUCAAGAACGGCAGCACCAGGGUCAUCUACGGCUGCCGGGUGAACCCGCUGGUGCACUGGAUGGCGAAGCGGCUGGCGAGGGAGAAGGAGUGCGCCGACCUUGACGACCCCGGUGGCCCGGCUUUCAGCCAGCCCAAGUCGGAGGUCCUCUGCCUCACGGCGGGCAACCGUGCCCGGAUGCAGAAGCUGCGCGAGGAGGACGGCUUGCGGCCCCGGACCCGGCCCAAGCCCAGCCAAACAAUGGCGCCUCCUCCGGCUACGCAAGCAGUCGGGGCCCCAUCCCAGAAGCUCCAGGAGGACAAUGAUUCGCAGGCCCAGUUGAAACCCAGUCCAUCAAAGGUGCCUCCAGGUGGGCUCCCAUCCCAGGAUCAACAAGAUGAGACCAAACGGGAUGAUGAAAUGUUGGAGACUGCGAUACUACUCAUCGAGUUUGAAAGGAAGAAAGUCAUCCUCAACAUUGAUGCACACGUGUACCGACUCCCGGAGCCCUUGCUCACAAAGCUCGCCGACGGCUUGGAGGUGCUGCAGCUCGGCCGGUGGGGGAACACCGACGACGAGACAUACAUGGAGGUGGAAGCUCUUGAGUCGCUGAGCGCCAUCGGCAAGCUGAAGAACCUCCGGUACCUGAGCGUGCGCGGGUUGUCGCGGCUGACGGAGCUCCCAAGUGAGGUCCGGAGGCUCCGGAAGCUGGCCAUCUUGGACGUGCGCGGGUGCCAGAACCUGGUCAAGCUGCCGUCGUCCACCGUGAAGAAGCUUGUGGGGCUGACCCACCUGGACCUCACCGAGUGCUACAUGCUGGAGCACAUCGGGCGGGGGGUCGCCGCCCUGCCGGAGCUGCGCGUGUUCAAGGGCUUCGUGUUCGGCGUCGGCAAGCGGCGGCGCGACGCGUGCAGGCUGCAGCACCUCGCCAAGCUGAAGAAGCUCUGGAAGCUCAGCGUCAACGUCACCACCGACGCCAACGUGGAGCAGGACGAGAUGAAGCAGCUCGCGAAGCUCGCCGGGCUCCUGUCGCUCACGGUUACGUGGGGCGAGAGGCCGAGCAUAUUGCUGGAUAGUAGCCCGAAAAUUCAGAAGCAGCUGCAAGAUCUCCUUGAUACCUGGACCUGCCUCCGGCUACCGCCGCAGCUCGAUAAGCUGGACGUCCGGUGCUACCCCGAGGGCAAGCUGCCAUUGGCGACGUGGCUCAACGGCAACAAGAAACUCAAGAAGCUCUACGUGAGAGGCGGGGAGGUGAAGGAGCUCGACAUCCCCGGAGACAACGUCAUCGAGACCCUGCGCCUCAGGUACCUCAAAGAGUUCGAGCUGAAAUGGACGACUGACCUGCUCCCUAAGUUGAAUGGGAACACCAUUAAGUGUGUGGAGGUUGUCGAUAAGGAUUCUAAAGUGGUGAAGGCUCAAACCAAAGGUAAGGGUGAGCUGAAUGAGAAGGAGGGGACAGAGAAAGAGAAGCUGAUUCCCAUUAAGAAGCGGAUGAAAAUACCAGUGUGUACCGUGGACGAACAUGGGGUGUGGGUGAGGGAUCUCAAGGAAGAAGACGCCGGCGGCCAAACUCCAGGUAAAGCAGAAGGUGCUACCGGCGUUGCCAAAGCUGAAAAUGGUGUCGACGAUGCUGGCAAAGCGCAAAAAGAAGUGAAAAAGGAAGAGAAGCCAAGCAACCUCAAAGGCACCCAAGGAGAAAAUGAGCAACCAGCACCAGCCAAGGAAGACAAUGGAGCUACUGAUGAGAUAAAAAAAGUUGACGGCGGAGAUAAGAACCAUGAGAUUGUUAAUAAAGAGAACGACAACAAGAGAGAGGCAAAAGAUGAAGAGCACGAUCCUAUGAAGAAGGGUCCGCAAGUACAUGAGCCUAACGUAGAUGGGAAUAAGGUGCAGGCGAGCAAUGAGAACGAGGAACUCAAAGAGGCCGUGGAGAAGCAAGUGUCACCUACUCUCGCUGUCGAUCAGACAGCGGUUCCAAGGAGCGAGGGAGAUAUCAAGAAAGGUGCCGUCACCGAUAAGACCCACAAAGACAAAAUAAGUGAAACCAAAGAAGAGAGGCAAGACGAACCGAGAGAUGCCAAAGGACAAGAUGAGCCACCUAGCAAGCAAGACACAGAAAACAUCGAUGAACCACAAACAGAAGGUGAAGACAAAGGCAAAGACGAUGAGCAGCCCGCCGACGAAGACGGAGGCGGCGGUGGCGGCGAUACAACCACCGGUGAUGCGUCGAGCUCGCAGGCGUCGAAGCCUAAAGAGGAGACCCCUGCCACAGUAACCCCAGCUACUGAAACAACCGCUUCUCCCCCAGCAUUACCGCUUGCAACUACCACCGCUGCUCCGGCUGCCGUGGACACCAAGGAACCUGGGAAGGCUGGCCAAGAUGAUGGACCAGGCACAGGCGCAGCGGUAGAGAAUAAUUGA